CAGCAGCCGCGGGAAUACGUAGGGUGCGAGCGUUAAUCGGUAUUACUGGGCGUAAAGCGGGCGCAGACGGUUACUUAAGCAGGAUGUGAAAUCCCCGGGCUCAACCUGGGAACUGCGCUUGUGACUGCACAGCUAGAGUAUGGCAGAGGGGGGUGGAAUUCCACGUGUAGCAGUGAAAUGCGUAGAGAUGUGGAGGAACACCGAUGGCGAAGGCAAUCCCCUGGGCCUGCACUGACGCUCAUGCACGAAAGCGUGGGGAGCAAACAGGAUUAGAUACCCCGGUAGUCCCUGUCUCUUAUAC
rnacentral:rRNA from 1 species